GAUUAAGAACGUAGCGAAAUGCGAUAAGUAAUGUGAAUUGCAGAAUUCAGUGAAUCAUCGAAUCUUUGAACGCACCUUGCGCCCUUUGGACUUCUGAAGGGCAUGCCUGUUUGAGUAUCAUGAACACCUCAACUCCUUAUGGUCUUCCAUGAUGAGCUUGGACUUUGGGGGUUUUGCUGGCCUACAGUCAGCUCCUCUAAAAUAAAUCAGCUUACCGGUGUUUGGUGGGUAUCAUGGGUGUGAUAACUAUCUACGCUCGUGGUUUUCCACCAGGUAACCUUCAGCAGUGGAGGUUCACUGGAGCUCAUAGAUGUCUCUCCUCAGCGAGGACAGCCCUUUGAAUGUUUGAUCUCAAAUCAGGUAGGACUACCCGCUGAACUUAAGCAUAUCAAUAAGCGGAGGA
rnacentral:misc_RNA from 1 species